rnacentral:tRNA from 1 species
GGGGCUGGGUUCAGUGGUCAGAGCGCUUGCCUUGCAUGCAUGAGGCACUGGGUUCAAUUCCUCAGCACCA